CUGUAGUUUCCUGUAUUGAACCCGCGGCCCUUUCAAAGUGAUAAAGCGUUCGACAGCGCGAGGAAGACGCGCGGAUCCGGGCGCGGCGGAUCUGCCGGCCGGUGCGGCGGCUUGCUCCGGUGGCGGCGGCGAUGUCUUGCUCAUCCAGUUAAAGAGAGAGACAGGGUGUGAGGGGGAGAGGAAAGAGAGGAAGGCAUAGAAGGAGAAGUGUCGCAAGAUGAGGGAGGGAUCUCGCGGCUGGUGCGGGGGCUUGCUCGCAGCGGCGUCCGUCUCGUCCAGAGAAAGAGAGAGACAGGGCAUGAGGGAGAGAGGAAAGAGAGGAAGAAAGGAGAAGGAGAAUGGGCGCAAGGUGACGGAGACGGUCGCUGGCGGUGGCGCCUCCGGUGACCGGCCGGCGGCAGGGCGACCUGCACUUGGAGGAGGAGAACUGCGCAAGAUGGAUUCCAGCACCCUCCUACUCAUAUAAUGGUGAGACCUCCUUCCCUCUCUCCCUUCCAGAGCCAUAGGCUGACGACAAGGACAAGUCCCUGCUCGAGAAAACAGCAGGGAGCAACAUGAUUCACGGUCUAGAUUAGAACAACACUGAACUGAUAUAUUUUUUGUAGUACAGGAGCUUCAAGACAAAGGGCAUCAGGCUUCACGGCAACACAUUUAUCUAUAACUUUCUCCCCAAAUCUGAAAGUAUUUGGCCCCUAAAUUCUAAUUCUCAUUAGAAAGUCAGAGUAUUUGUGGAAUAUGGUCUAUGAAUAUUGACAAAUUUGAUUGCAGCAGGGGCGACAAAGUUAGUGCAGUCCUCACCGUGCACAUAUAUUUCAGGGUAAAAUCAAACUUCAGUUAGAAGGACAUGAUCAGGCAGGAGAUUCAUGCAGCAUUGGAUGUGAGAGGCCCUAAAUGCAUUUAGCAUGUGAAAAGAUGUGUUUAGUAUUGUUCCAAGUUGUUACCUUUCGAAAAGAGAACGCAACAGGGAUAAUUUUUUCUUCGAAGCACGAGUUAACCACAAGGAAUCUCCAUGCUUUUGCACCGGGUGUGAAAUCAACUUUGAAAAAUUGACAUGGCUAUUGUUUUUGCUUUUCCUGCUCAAGACAACAAAGGGAUUGUUCAGGCUGAUUUGUGUUUGUGCAGACAGACCUCAAGGAACCUCUGCCGAAGAUUUACGUGGUGAAGGACUCAAACUGUAUCUCACGUCCACUCGGCCACACCUGGGUUGGCUGCCAACAGCCCUCUGAUUGAACAACUGCUCCGUCUAUCCGAGUCUCUGUCGGUCGGCUGUUCUUCUCGGACAUCACCAUACAGCUCCUCAGCAGCAAACUCACGUGCUUCUCCACCAGAAUCAAUUCCCGAGCUGUUGAUAUCCCCUAUUCCUCUAAGGAUAUGCCCAUGGUGAAGCAAAAAAAAAUCAAGCUUUAUAAGCUCCGCGGCCUCAAGGCCAAUCCCCAGGUUGAUGCCACCGCUACUGACUUUGCCACAUCCCUAUUACAGUUUAAUUUUUAAUUUAUUAGAGAAACUGGAUCAGUGCUUGGGGCUGGUGUGCUACGGUUGGUUUAGGCAUGUGUCCAACAAGGCGGCGGCCACUAUAAGAUACUCUCCUGAGUUAGGACGGGUUUCGAAUUUGCUGCAUGAGAAAAAAUAAAAGAGAAAGGAAUGUGAUUUUUGCUGCUACUA